GACAAUCUUGUCCAUCCAUCUUAACCUAAUUUUUUGAACUGUCAAAUAUGACAGCGCAUCGUGCCUUUGCCCUAACUUAAAGAUAUUUUGAAAUCCGUCUUCUUUUCCACAAGCGAAAUACAUUUGUAGAUUUAUCUGAUCACGUCAUUUGCAAUAUAAUUUUCUUAAGUGUGGGCAAACAGGUCGAUACUAGUCAAUCACAAACUAAUUAGUCUUACACACUUGACGAUAAUUUUGUUCGUUACGGGAACUGCUUUAAUUGGACAAUCGUAAACAAGAAUCUCCUCCCCAAACUUUUAGUCGGCAGCUCGUAUUUCACCGAAAUAUACUAGUUUUUUAAUUGGAUUUGUAUUCUUGUGUCAAUCAACUUGUCCAGUUGCCCUUUGGGGAGUCCAGAAGUAGAAAAAUAAAAAAAGUACAAUCACAACUUGCCCUUUUGGGUGCUCGGGG
rnacentral:lncRNA from 1 species